UACGGAGGGUGCAAGCGUUAUCCGGAUUCACUGGGUUUAAAGGGUGCGUAGGAGGGCAGGUAAGUCAGUGGUGAAAUCCCCGAGCUUAACUUGGGAACUGCCGUUGAUACUAUCUGUCUUGAAUACCGUGGAGGUGAGCGGAAUAUGUCAUGUAGCGGUGAAAUGCUUAGAUAUGACAUAGAACACCAAAUUGCGAAGGCAGCUCGCUACACGAAUAUUGACUCUGAGGCACGAAA
rnacentral:rRNA from 1 species